CGCCGCGUGUUGGACGAAGGGGCUUAGCCCUGUAAACAACUGUCAGAUGGGGAAAAAAGCUCGUUUUACGGGCUGGGAUUGUACCAUCAGAGGAAGGACCGGCUAACUACGUGCCAGCAGCCGCGGUAAUACGUAGGGUCCAAGCGUUGUCCGGAUUUACUGGGUAUAAAGGGUGCGCAGGCGGGUCUGUGCGUCAGGGGUUAAAUACCUCGGCUUAACCGAGGAAAUGCCCUUGAUACGGCAGGUCUUGAAUGUGAGAGAGGAUGAUGGAAUUCCUGGUGUAGCGGUGGAAUGCGUAGAUAUCAGGAGGAACACCAGUGGCGAAGGCGGUCAUCUGGCUCAUUAUUGACGCUUAGGCACGAAAGCGUGGGGAUCAAACAGGAUUAGAUACCCUGGUAGUCCACGCCCUAAACGAUGUAUGUUUGGUGUUGGGUAGCAAUAUUCAGUGCCGGAGGAAAUCUGUUAAGCAUACCACCUGGGGAGUACGAUCGCAAGGUUGAAACUCAAAGGAAUUGACGGGGGCCCGCACAAGCGGUGGAUUAUGUGGUUUAAUUCGAUGCAACGCGAAGAACCUUACCAGGGCUCGAAGUGUAGUGGAAUGCGGGUGAAAGCUCGCAGCUCGCAAGAGCCGCUAUAGAGGUGCUGCAUGGCUGUCGUCAGCUCGUGCCGUGAGGUGUUGGGUUAAGUCCCGCAACGAGCGCAACCC
rnacentral:rRNA from 1 species